GAAUGUUCAGAGUCAUCACUUUGCUCAUGCUGUCCAUUGCUGCAGCUCCUCUUUUCUGCUUCUGUCUCAAACCUUAUAUAGGUUAUAGCUCCUGCUAAAGCCCUCCCUCCUAUUAUGUAAAUGUGGUGCAUUGUGAUGUCACAUGACAUCCCUAUGAUGUAAAAUCAUUAAAUAUUUUUGUCCUUUUAAGUUUAUUCCUUUUAAGUAAUGUCCCAUUUCUUUUGCAGGUAAUCCACACUUUGGAAUCAGGAGACAGAACAUAGCUUUAUGCUUUUAGCUCAAAAGAAGCAGCCUUGAAAUUUGCCUCUUGUCCAGACAACUUCAUUGCAGAGGUCACAGAAAAUUCCAAACUCUCCCCUGAACUUUUAGUAUAGGUUCUCUAAAUUGAAUUGAGUUGGGUGCCAGACAAGGCUUCGUCACCCGUCAGCAAUUUGAAUGUAUAUAAAAAAUGUAAAAUUGUUUAUGUAAGAGAGUUAACCCGGAUAGCUUAUUUACAUAACUUGAGAACUCUUAAUGGAAACUUCUUAAUGGAAAGAAGUUUCCACUAUACUCUUAAGUUUCCAUUAAGAGUAUAGCUAGGAGUAUACUCAUGGUGAGUAAAGUCCGAGUUCAGAUUAAGUGUGAGAUUGUGUGUGUGGUUGUUGGAGAGGGGAGUUAGAGUCCAAUGAAAAGGUAUUUUUUUGGAUGGUACUUAAUCUUCAAUUAAAGGGGAGAUGAUGGGUGAAUUUUCUAGCGGUAAAGGGAUUUGUUGAAACCAUGAGAGUUCCAAUAGGAAGAAUUAGCUUUUAUGGUUAAUCCAGGACAGAGUGGAUCUAGUUCCAAUCCGAGCAGGUUAGAUUGGUUAUGAUAAUUCACUUCAGGCUCCAGGGAUCACCUUCUUUGCCUCAUGGUCCAGGACAAUUGUGAAAUAAAUCAAGCCGUUUCUUGGAAUAACUUUCAAGAGACUAGUGAUCUCAUUACUACAGUUACUCUCACUUCACAGGCUUCCACUCCAUGCUGCCUCUAGUACUCUAUAUCUUUCCAGGUGCUCCAAGUCUUCAGCACUAGGGUAGAAGGGUUAGAGGUUACAGACAUACACAGUUCUUACAUCCUGACCGGUAUCCUCAAAUAAAAAUUGGUAGUAAGUUAUACGGUAAGGUCCUUUCCACUUUUUGGCCAGCUUAGAGGUGAAUUUGUCCUUAGCUUGUGACUGAAGGAAAUUUCUAACCAAGACUCUUUGUAUAGUUUUGAAUCCAACAUUACAGCAUUUUUUGUUGUAGGUCCUCAGUUGCCUUUGUUUUGAUUUCCUUAUAUUUUACUCAACAUCUGCUUUGAGUUGUUAGUUGAUGGAUAACAUCAUAAACAGAUGCAUCAGGUGGGUAAAUCUUUCCUUUCAGGACUUUAUCCUUUGGACAAUUGACCUUCCUACCAAUUUGUAGAUUUGCCGGGUUACCCCUGAGUUUCAUGAACAUCAGAGUUUAUGGCAAAUCUGAUCUCAACAUUAGGUUCUUUAUGUUGCUCCUCACAAUUUUUUUCCAGGGAAAUAGGGCUAUUCCCAUCUCUUUGAUUGGAGUACAGACAGCACUAACUGACAGGGGGAAUCCUUGAAAGAGCAUCAGGAUCCAAAAUUUCGUGUAUUCCAAAAUAAAGUUGAACCGUUGCAAUCUUAGUGCCCAUCUGAUCCAACCACUUGUGCUGUUUAUUGAGGAGAGGACCCAUGUCAAGGCAGAAUGGUCUGUAAUGAAAGUAAAGAGAUUUGGCUCCAGAUAGUGUUGCCAUCUCUCAAGAGCCCAAAUGAUUGCAAGGCACUCUUUUUCUGUUACAGAGUAAUUUCUCUCAGCUUGUUUCAAAGUUCAACUGGCAUAAGCAUGAACGACUUCACCUACAAUGUCUUCUCUCUGCGUCAACAAAGCUCCAAGACCGGUAUUACUUGCAUCAGUAUAAACAGAGACAGGAAUGUCUAGAUUUGGUUGACCUAUGAUGGGUGGGUGAGAUCAAACUGGACUUAAAUUUCUCAAAUGAAUUUUGGCAUGCUUGACUUCAGAAGAAAGAUCCUUUCUUUCUUGAGAUCAUUUAAGGUCUCAGCAAUUUUUAAGAAGUCUGUUAAAAAAUGUUGAUACCAUCUGGCAAGCCCCAAGAAACUCUGAACCCUUGAGGUUAGUCGGUACUGAAUUGAUCUGAAUUGCCUAGACUUUGUAAAGAUCAGCACUGACUCCUUGAUCAGAGACAAUAUGUCCCAGGAAUCUGAUUUCUUGCUGGCAGAAUCUAGACUUCUUGAGAUUUAGGGUCAGAUUAGCUUUUUGGAAUCUAUCAAUUAAUGUUCGCAGACAUUCGAAAUGAUGAGUCACAGAUGACGAAUAAACAAUUAUGUCAUCUAGAUAUACUAGACAGUUUUGACCCCCAGGCCCACGAAGAAUUUCUCCAUUAGUCGUUGAAAGGUGGCCGAUGCAUUGUUGGACAUAAGGGCAUGACAUUGAAAUGAUACAAGCCAGAAUGAGUGACAAAGGCAGUUUUUGCUUUACUAUGAGGAUCAAUGGGUACCUGCCAGUAUCCACUAUUUAAAUCAAUUGUGAAGAAAAGGGAGGCUCCAGAGAGGGACGCAAGUAUUUCAUUGAUGUUUUGGAGGGGAUAUGCAUCUGUUUCAGUGACAGCAUGGUUCACUAACUCCAGCAUUAAUCAUAUCUCUUAACUGUUCUUUCACAAUGGCUAGCUUACCAGGGUUCAUUCGGUAAGGCCUUUGUUUAAUAGAUACACAGUUUGUAGUAUAGAUGGUGUGCUGAAGAGUAUCAGUUUUUCCAGGCUGAUUGGGGCAAACCUGUGUGCUAGUCUCAAGGAGCCGUCAUUAUUGUUUCUUUUCUCCAUCUUGUAAGAUAGCAUGUGACACAGCAAGGUUGAUGUAAUCUUUGGCUUUCAGUCGCACCGGUUCCAGAGAGAGAAUGGGAGGUGGAACAGAGCUUAUCAGUAAAAGAUUCCAUACUGGACUGGUCUUUGACCAACUGAUGUUUGAUUGAUUUCAUCAGCUUUAUUCCCUGGGGGAUGGCCACUGCCUGGCCGAGGGAUAAGUAACAGGGGUUAGACUUGAAACUGUAAACUAAAAACGUAAUCUUUAUCGGGCACAUUGAUUAUCAUACCAACACUAGAAAUGAAAUCAAGACCAGGAACCAUAUCAUAGGCUAGAGCAUCUGACCCAAGUACGGCUCUAGUUAAAGUGGACAAUUGUCCAUGGCUCACAGGUGUGUCCAACUUAUCAUCUGCCUAGCCCCUCCUUUUCCUGUUGAGGAGUGAAGGGCCAUUCUUGUCUUUUAGUUCUCUCUUUUCUGCUACAAACACAAUUGUCUGGCCCCCUGGUAUAAAGUCAGCAAUUGUGUGAACACAGCAGAAGAUCCUGAUCAUGAUUAACAACAAGCGUUUUGUUGAUGAGGCUUCUCACAUGCAACAGACACACAAAAAAAGAAAGAAUUGAACUUUGUCAAAAUGACGAAUUUGAGCCACACUUCGAAGACACUGACGAAGAUGUAGUUUGUCGUGAUUAAAGCUGAUCCUGGUUUCAAUGUAUCGUAAACAAAAGCAUGUGAUCUCUGCAGCAGAAAUAUUACGUUACAUCCUGCCUUUAUCUGCUACCAGAGGGAGAUGUCUGAAAACGGUUAAUGUCACUUAGGCAUGAUAUGGUGAUCAUAUUAAAAAUAUCUGUUUCUAACUUGUGGUUUUGCAGAUGCAGCCAGGAGAGAAUUUGCAGGUGAAGCCCAUCACUAAGUGUGAGAGCAGCACACAGACUGACCUACAUCCAGUGGAGACAAUCAUAGUCAAGUCAUAUGACUGGAAUGAGUGGGAACUGCGAAGAAAAGCUAUCAGACAGGCUAAUCUUCGGACCAAAGUUACGCACUCAGCACAGACUGAUCUGAGCCACAUGAGGCGUGAAAACAUCACUCAGACCUGGCUGCCCAAGGACGCCGCCUGUCAAAGCAAGAGAGACGGUGAGAGCAACGUGCCCAGGCCUCAGGUCUACCUGGCAGGUCUGAGGGGACAAAGAGACGGACAGAUGGUCAAAACUAACCUGACCAGAUCUGUGGAUGAAUAAUCGAGAAGCCGACAUCAAAUCCAUCACCAAAUCCGCCUUUCUUCACCUCAAAUCCAUCACCAGACACCGGCCUUCACUCCCCGACUCUGUGGCAGAAACCUUCAUUCAUUUACCUCCUGCCUGGAUAACUGAAAUGGAGAAUGACUGGAUUUACUGGAUGAUAAUUGUCUCAUUAACACGACACACAGAAGACAUGAGGAAAGAUAACCACAAAGUGAACGAAAUUUUAAUAAAUAUUUAUCGAGAUAAACGGUAUUGCCAUUCAUCCACAAAUGCCAGUUAAAACUUUAUUGUGUCAAAGGAAAGGCUUAUGUUUACCUGUCCAGGAGUGCCUCUGACUUCUCUGGACUCAAAGGCAUCUGGGAUAGCACAGUGGAAAAGUGUACUGUGGUCAUACGCAUAAGAGUUUCAGAUCUUUUUUGGAAGAAAUGGACGCUGUGUGCUCCAGACCAAAGAUGAAAAGGACCAUCCAGACUAUUACCAGCAACAAGUCCAAAGGCCAGGGUCUGUCAUGGUAUGGGGUUGUGUCAGUGCCCUGGUUGAAGGUAGCCUACACUUCUGUGAUAGCACAAUUAAUGCUGAAGGGUACAUAGGGAUUUUGGAGCUGCAUAUGGUUCAUUCAAGACGAUGUCUUUUCCAAAGACAUCCAUGCAUAUUGCAACAAGACAAUGCAAAACCACAUUCUGCACACAUUACAAAGGCAUGGCCGGGAAGAAGAGGCUGGGGGUGCUGGUCUGGAAACCCUGUACUGUUGCACGCCUUAAGACUUGUUUGCAGGAAGAAUGGGCCAAAAUGAUCCCUGACACAUUUCAUCACUUGGUGUCUCGAGUCCCACAACAUCUUUUAAGUGCUGUGAAAAGGAAUGGCAACAUUGCAAAGUGGUAAACCAUUUGAUUACAGAAACACAUACAAAUACAAAAUACACUCAUUUGAGGGCAUUUAAAAGGUUAAUGACAGCAGAAACAAAUUAGUUCUUGCGUCUGUUUUUCCUCUAUCUAGGAAGCAGCGCGACCUGAAAAAACGGGGUGACUGUGGUCAGCCAGAAUCGACUUGGCCUUCCUCAAGGACCUGCCCUUGUGC